UUAACUGCGACAAAUCACAGUUAGGAAUAGCAGAUACUGAAAAGUAGCAUUCACAGAAAUCAGUGAUAUCGGAAAAUCGCAGUUUAGCCCAACAGUAAAGUGCGUACUAUUGGGAGACACUCACGUUUCAUCAUAAAUAGAAGUUAAUAAUGAACAUAUACUUCGUUAGGUUGGCAACAUACCAAAAUUGAUGGAACACGUAAUGGGAGUGAUCUCCAUACUACUAAUACUAGACUACACUGCGUAAUAGAGUCGCAAUACUUACGCUGUGGAAGCUGUGUACGAACUACGAAGAAAUAGUUGUAUUGAGUGACACAAGAACAAUAGUCCACUACAAAAAAUAGUGAGAAACAUGGUGAACAGUGUGUGAAAGGCGAGAACACAAAGAUGUGAUUAUAUGGCAGUGAUGAAAGUGGUAGUGCGACGUUCAGACCAGAUGCGAGGAAACGCAGAGCAGCAAAUCAUUCAUGGAGCUCAAGGACAGCAUGGCCACAGCAACUGCCAGAACGUGUCAUCACGACACAGCGGGAUGACACCAUGGAGACAGAGCCUGCACCUCCUCUCGUCCUACCGAUGGAGCUGGACCUGCCCAUAAUGCAGCAGCUGAUGCCUUCGACAUCUGGUUUUUGGCCUCUGGUGGUGGAUGCAUACAAUCCUGGUUGUUUUCUGGGGGAUGUUUCCGCCACAGCGAAGGCCGGAUGGUGGGGUACGAUCGGAAGCUUGACAUCUCCUGCAGCUACAGCUUCCGGUCCACUCUAGUUUCAGCUCUCUGCCAGGCCCGGCCGGUGUCGUGCUCCCUACAUGACAGCUGUCCGUCACUUUGGGAGGGGGGAGGGGAUGUUCCAGCGUAACAUGAAGUGCCAGCACAUUGGACUGGAAUGUUAUAGAAGCAGAGAAGGCUGUAAGCCAACGUCAGCCAAUAGUACACCGACUAGGACGACACCAUGACAGGAGCAGCCCCAUAUGAAGAGAUUCUAAGAGCUGCUUCGCCUAGCCAUGAGCAGUAGAUGAUGAGCCAUUGUCCAAACACUUUAGCCGUGAUUUGUAAACUGUACUAUGUGCUUGCAUGGAAAUUGAUUAUUUACAUGUCGCCCUUCACUUGCGACACCACUUUGUAAAUAUGCAAUGUUAAGUAUUGUCAAUUUAACUUAGUGUAAUAAACUUCAUUAAUAAGAUUUA